rnacentral:rRNA from 1 species
CCUUGUACACACCGCCCGUCACACCACGAGAGUUUGUAACACCCGAAGUCGGUGGAGUAACCGCAAGGAGCUAGCCGCCUAAGGUGGGACAGAUGAUUGGGGUG